UGUGACGUUGUUUUUGCCGCCAAAACAUGUGUAAAGUUAAAAGUUUACCCAUUGCAGUUUUUACUACAUACAAGGGAAUCUCUGUAAUAUGUGAUUAUUAACUAACAAUGUUACAUGACAACUGUCUAUCUUAUUAUCUGUAUGUGGUAUCAAUUUCUGGUUAACCUAGACUUUGGUGGUGUGACGGUUUAUUUUGGAAUAUGGAAUAUUGUUUUGGAAGUUGUUUAGUUAAACAUGUAAGAAAUCAGGUUCUUCUGUACUAAGAGUUGAUGAAUUGGAUCUGAGAAUAUUUCAUGAUGUGAGUAUGCAAUCAUCUUAUAAUGCUGUAUUUCAGGAGCUAAUGAGUAAGUAAGAUCCACUUAUGAUUUGUAUAUUUUCUUCUUAAGCCCAUUUGUAACAGCCGAAAAUUCUUUGGAGAAUUCUCUACAGAAUUUUGGCAAGAAAAUGACAGAAAUUUUUUUUAUGCAACUGAACAGCAAAUUCUACUGAAAGAACGUAUGUAACUGCAGAGAAUUCUCAGUGUAUGAAAUCACAAGUAAAUUCUGUAGAAAAUUUUCGGCUAUUGCAAACAGGCUUUAAAUGAAAUAUUCACUCCUUUUGUGAAAGCAUUGAUGGCUACUGAAAGUGGUUUACCUGGCUUCUAUCUCCAUUUCCAAUACUCAAUUGGUUCAAUUUACUGAAAACAAAUCCACAUCUAAUAGGCUAAUAGUAAAUUGUAAGUCUUUUUGGUUACAGCUUGUUCUGUUCAAAAGUUAAAAAAUCUUCCUUCACGUUCAGAUCUGUCUGUGACUGAUGUUGGAUUUUGCUGCGAAGGAAAUGCUCUAUUUGCACAUAGAGGAUUCAGAUUUGCCUUUAAGAAAAUGUACAUUUUCAAAGAUAUCAGGAUGUUUUAACAUUGAUACUACAAUUAUUUUUAUUUCGACUGAGUUGGGUCUACAACUUCUGGUUUAUAUGGAAAUGGCUGUAUUUUUCAAAUUUCUUGCAGUCUGUAGAUGUGAUGUAUAUCUCAGCAUAUUUGAAUUCUAUGUUGAUACAAUAUCAGACAACAUGUAAACAAAAAAAAAUCAAGGAAAACCCAUAGGAUCUAUCCUGAAGUGUUUGAAAGAAGCUUUAACACAUGCAGUAUUAAAAUUUAAUUACAUGAAAAUGUACAUACAUAUAUGUAUAUGAUGAAAAUAUUUAUAUGUAUAUUUUGCAAUGUGCUAUUUUUCCCCGAUAGAUCCUAUGUCCUAAAUAUCACAGUACUU